CACUUCCAUGGCCUUCCUCCAUGGCUCCAAAAGGUUGAUGAUCUUUCAGUGCUGGGGGUCUGAGAGCUGGAUACAUCACUUCAGGUAAAGGGUGACCAAGCACUGGAACAGAUUGCCCAGAGAGGUUGUGGAGUCUUCUUCACUGGAGAUAUUCAAGAGCCACCUGGGCACAAUCCUGUGCCAUGUGCUCCAGAAUGACCCUGUCUGACCAGGGAGGUUGGACCAGACGACACACUGUGGUCCCUUCCAACAUGACCCAUUCUGCAAUUCUGUGAAGGCUUCUUCUUUACAGAGUUGUGAGAAAGACAGAACAUAGAGGAGCAAUGCCCAUACCUGACCAUAGUCUGUCCUGAAUACAACAACUCCUUCUGCACAGGAAUGAACAGUGCUGGGAUAAUGCUGAUUAUUUUCUCGCAGCCAGACCCGAGACCCCUGCAAUAAAAAAAAAAAAACAAAACAAA